AAGGAUCAUUAUUGAUUUGGGUUUUGCACACACCAGUGCUUCUCCCUUGCUGUACCUGCAACCGGAACUGAGUGCUUCUGCUGGCGUUUGAGGGCAUAUGUAGCAAUAUAUAUGCCUACACGUAACAGGGGUGGAAUCGGGUGGUUGUGGUGUAUACCGCAAAAAAAUACUCUUGUGAACUUGUACCACCCAAUUUUUAUAUAUAAUGAAAGCCUUAUGUUAUUUUUGUGUCCCCUCACAGGGCCAAUUAUUUAUUAAUUAUACAUAACUUUUAACAACGGAUCUCUUGGCUCUC
rnacentral:misc_RNA from 1 species